rnacentral:lncRNA from 1 species
UUGCUGUCCCCGGGGAGUCUCAAAAGCUGGGCUGUCUGUUCACUGACUCCCGAUUUCACCACACCACCCCUAAGUCCCUGGUGGUUUAGGGCUGCUCCCCACCCCCUGCCAGGACUAAGCAAGCUCCCACUGCUGGAAGGGCCCAGGCAGAGAUGCAGAGAUGGGGCACCAGGCGGCCAUGUGUGGGGACACCCCUGCUGCGUGGGGAUAGGAGGGGGGGCAUAUGUGUGUCUGUGACACCCCUCUCCCUCAGAAGGCGUGAGACCCUCGUGAUGUGGCUGGCACCUGAAUUCUAGAUGAUUCUUCAACUUAGACUCAAUCCGUCAGCUCGGGAAGGGAGCACUCGCUCAGCGUCGCCCAGUGUCCCGGGCCUGGGACUGCGGGGAGCAGAAGAGAGGAGACCUCACUUCCGGAGCUGCCCUGACCGCAACCCACACAUAGUGGUGGACGAAGGUCAGGGACACAGCCAAGGGGGCCUCUGAGUCUCCAUCACAGCAGACCUGGGGACCCCGGGUGCCGCGGCCGUUGGCACGAGAAUGUGGGUGUCCAGGGAAGCUCGGUGACCUGGUCCCGUCACAGGACUGCCGGUCACGUGCAGCGUCCUGCUCACACGGGGCCAGCAGCCGGGUCUCUGCCCAGCUGCCCCCCCCGCCCCAGACUUGGCCCAUGGAGUAAACUCAGGCCUCCCUGCUUCAGCGGUCAGCGCACGGGCGGCGGAGGCUGCUGAUUCUUUACCCAAUACCCUGUGGUAAUCUGUCUGGGACAAGGCUUUGACGUUCACUGCCAAAAUUUUCAGCCGAAAAGUAAAACUUUGCACUCUUACCACCAAUGGAUAGAGCAACCUUUCCCACCAUCCUCAUGAAUGCAGCGCAUCCUUGCUAAUUUUUUGAUGGGCUUUUGCAAGAGGACGUGUGAGCGUGACAAGAUGGGCACAGGGCACAGGGCCUGCUUGACCCGGAGAGAGACCUGCCUGGCCGAGACCACACCCCAGCCGAUCGGCCCUCUCUAGGGCCUCCAAAACCUUCACGAGUUCACACCCAGUCCUUCGCAACGUUGAGUGACAGACACAGAGCCCUCCCCUGCCCUGGGAGCCCUUCCUUCCCCAAAGACCUGCUGGAAAAGGAACGCCCGCUUCUGCAGGACCAGCACUUUCCACCCAGUCACGUCACCGCUCUCCACCCAAACCGAGCUCCUACUGGCAUCUGGGGCCCAUUGCUGAGCUCCGGAAAUGGGUAGUUAUCUUCAUGUGCUGUGGGAAGAAAUGGCUUAUUAAGAUGAAAAGAAGUUAAUUAGAUGAAAAAUAUGCGCGUGCUUGUGCAGACCAGACUUCUACUGAUGGCUUCUCCUGGCUUCCAUGAUCAGCCGGGUCGGGGGACUCUGAGCUUGCCGUCAUCAGACGGAUCCUGCCGGAUGUCCCUCUGCAGAGUCCACACCUGCAGUUCAGCCUGGAGCUUUUGGGUCAUCUGUGGACAUGCGCAGAGCAGCAAAAACUGAGUCUUUGCACCCAUUCUGGGAUGAAGCUGAAUCAGGAGACCCUUUUUGCCUUCUUGCUUCAGCUCUUGCUCUGUAAGUAGGAGUCCUUUUUGCGGCCUAUUUAAUGCUAUGUUUUCUUGUAUUUUUGUGGGUUUUUUUGGCUGCUGACUUUUGCUCUUUAAAAUAACGCCCAGCCUGGUGCUGAAGAACUUGCUUGCUCCUGAGGGCAAGAGGCCAGACACGCCUUAUAGGGAAAAUAGAACACGUUAGAGAAGCUUUAGUUCAGGCCUGAGUUGUAGUGCUGUUGGCUGUGAGGUCAACACUAGCGAGCCAAGUGCGUGCAUUAAAUACCUUGUCUGUAAAGGAGAAAUACACACGAAACAAAGUCAUGUCUUGGUCGGUGGGCGAAGACGCUGGGACCAGGGCGGUAACUCUCGGACGUAACUUAUGCAGAUGAUGAGACGGAUUACGAGUGUUUGGCCCAUAUUAUCAAAACAUGUGCUAGGGUGGUUGAAGAUGGAGAGCAAAGUUUUAGCUGUUGUUCAGCCACACACAACUUCUGGCACGUCCGGUCUUAGCCUCCAACUCUGCUCCGUUCCUACUUCGCAUCCGUGGAGACUGCGGGGCACCCCAGCCCGCGUUGGGUCCCAAUCUCAUAACUAAUUAGCUCUCGGGAUUUUAAAGCUCCAGUUCUGAAUGAAAUCGAGUUCGGAGAUGAUGGUGGACGUGGGUGGUUUUUUUUUUUGCUGGAAGGAACACCGCUCACGCACAGCAGCAUUAUACAGAGACCCGUCUGCCCCGCGCAGCCGACCUGGUUGGGGCCCCUUCGUCCCGGGCGGCGAACCUGCGGCAACCGCGGGAGUCCUCCACCGGGCUUCCCAGCUUCCCUUUCGGCGAGGCGAGACCACGUGGCCCAACGCGGCCAAUGAAACUUUACGUGCCGAAGGGGUUUCUGGGAAAGUUUGUGCGCUUUCCUAUAAAAGGGGACAGAUGCGGUUGGCACCAGGCCGCACCCCUUUCCCCUCCUUCCUGCUGGGAUGCGGAUGUGAUGUCUGGUUCUGCAGAAGCCACUUGCAACCAUGAAGAAACAAGCCUGAGGGCAACAGCUAAUUUGGCGGGAUGGUGGCUGGAAAUAAUAGAGCCUUGGCCUGCGAAGGCAUCGCCGAGCAGCCAAACCUGCCUCCAGAGUUCUGAUGUGAGAAAAGCCCCUGCCGCUGAGAUGGUGACUUACUCACCGAAAUCUGCCCCCUUUCUUUCUGGACACACAGCUGGACUAUAUUUCCGUCUGCCAUUGCAGCGAGGUGCGGCUGCGGCACUGGGUUCGGGCCAGGGUGUGCCCCUCCGGGUCUGGCCCCUGGACGCCCCCAGAUGACUUUCCAGCCUCUUUCUCCCUUCCGCGCUGAGGGCGCACAUGACGACGAGGCCCAGGGGCCGCGGAUGAGGGGGGCUGGUCCAUGCAUUCCCCGGGGGAGCAGCAUGUCUGCUGACCAGAAACACCUGCCUUGGAUGUUUGGCGAAGUCGGCUUCUAUCGUGGGGGAGCCAUCACCCGCUGCGAGGCCCUCCUCACGCCUCUUCUGGACCAGUCUCAGCCUUGCAGGUCGGCUUCUCCGUGCCUCGUCUGUGAACCGGGGACAUACCAGUAUCCAUCUCUCUGGGGGUGGCCGGCACUUCGUGCACCGCUGGUGAGAGGCCAGUCCUUUUUUUUCUUCAGCUUUGACAGUGGCCAGACACUGAAGUGCACAGAGUCUUUCUGUCUUGGUAUGCCUCUAAACCUUUGAACCCAGAUGGACUGAAAGCUAAUAUUUUGGAUGGAACUGGGAAGACGGGUGGGAGCUUCCAUUUUGCUUGGAAGGAAGCCGUGGAGGGCACUGGGCCCUGGUGUGGGAGAUGGUGCUUGUGUUUGGGGGCUGCCUGAUGGCCAGGGAAGGCUUGGGUUCUCCUCCUGGUGCCCUGCCUGGGGGUCCUGCAGCUGCUCACCAUGGGGGGAGGGCAGUUUGGUUCUGCAGGUAGUGGCCUUGGUGUAUCGAGGCCUGACCGCAGGUGCUAGGUUCUACCAGAACUGGCAGGGUUUGGCCCCUUCCUGCCGCCUUGUUCACUUUGUUUCCAAUAUUAGCAGUGGGACAGGAGGUCUGUUAUAAAAACCCUUGCUGAGCCUCUGGUGCCUGGGAAGAAAGAGCCGCAGGGGAGCCAACUGACUUAAGCUGGUUGGCAUCUAACUUCCUAUAAUGGGGGCCAGCCGCCUGCUCCCCUGCAUUUCAGCUUGUUUGUCUAGAAGCAGCGGUUGCACUGGCUGGUCACGGGCACAUUCUGGGCAGGGCUCCAUGCCCACCGCAGAGCCUGCUGCUGCCCCCACAAACUCAGCUACUGACCUGUCAGUAAC